rnacentral:ncRNA from 1 species
AAUAAGGUUUUUUUUAAAACCAUCAUACAAACUUCAAUACAUAGAGU